AUUGAACGCUGGCGGCGUGCCUAACACAUGCAAGUCGAGCGGUAACAGGUGUAGCAAUACAUGCUGACGAGCGGCGAACGGGUGAGUAAUGCUUUGGAAUCUUCCCAGUAGUGGGGAAUAACCAGUCGAAAGAUUGGCUAAUACCGCAUACGUCUGUAAAGGGAAAGCGAGGGCUCGUAAGACCUCGCGCUAUUGGAUGAGCCAAAGUCGGAUUAGCUAGUUGGUGGGGUAAUGGCCUACCAAGGCGACAAUCCGUAGCUGGUCUGAGAGGACGACCAGCCACAC
rnacentral:rRNA from 1 species